UCACCUGAAGUGGGCUACUUGGAAAUU
rnacentral:piRNA from 1 species